rnacentral:lncRNA from 10 species
GUGUGAUUUUGGCACACACUUCUGCCCAGCACCUUAGUAAUGUAAUUCUUCAGAAUUGGCCCAGCCUACAAAUAGGAUUGUGCCACACUGCUGGACCCAGCGCCUAAGUGAUGUAACUCUGUUCUGCCUUGGUGCUACUUGAAAAAGACAUUGUAGUAUAUCUCAGAGCCUUACACCCAGGUAAUGUGAGUCUCCUCUCAUGCCUUGCUGCUGCACACAGAAGCAGGAUAUGCACAGGAUUGUUAAUCUCAUCUUGGACCUUCCUGCACGUGUGACUGUGACAGAUGCUUCUGUGUAGAACCUGAGUGAUUUUACUCUCCUGUCUGGAUUUAACCCACAGAUGAAUCGUGACAUAUCGCUGGACCAGAAACUAGGGCAUGGAAUAUUAUGAGUAUUGUGACAAAUCUCUUGGCCUGACACCUAGGGGAUGAGAGACUCCUGCCUGGGCCCUGCCCACAGGAUGCUUUGUGGCCUGUCUUCUGGUUUUAUUACCUAGAAAGAUGUAGAUGUGACUUUCCUCUUCUGCCUGCAUUCUUCCCACAG